GGCUGCCCAGCCCACGGUUGAGGAUCCCUCUGAGGUUGUGAACUGCCAUGCUAGCUUCCCAGAUGGCCCAGCUUGGGUGAAGUCCUGGCGACUCUGCCAGCACCACCAGAUGAUGAUGGGAAGCAAACUGCAGGGACCUCGAAGAGGUGCAGGACCUGAGCAGGCAGCCUUAGGGUCUUCUACCCACACCAUUUCUGCCUUGGAGUCAGCUAACUGUGGACUGAGACCAUAGAGAGCAUGGAUGCUAAAAUAUUAGCAUUAUAAAGAAGCCAAGUAAUUUGCAUCAGGACAAUAGAAAAGAUGGCUUGAGGACAUCUCAGGAAUCAGCAAGACCCACAAUUUCAAAGGCUCAAGAGUGUGAAAGUGAAAGACUUUGCCUUGAGAAGAGAGUACCAAAGCACCCUACUGAAGAAGGGCUGCCUAGGGAAUUGGUUCUCUGAUAUUCAGUUCAUAGUGCUCAGCCAUCUAGGCACUUGGAUGCCUCUAUAGCCAUGAUCCAGGGAGGCCUGCCACUGCUAGAACUCAUGGCAAACUUUUGGUUCAUCCACAUGGUGGUCUUAAGGCCAUGCAGAAUGCAAGAGUUGUGAAGUCAGAGAUGCUCCCACCCCAAUUUCAGAAGAAGGCCUAGAAGGCCAGGCAGUGUGCCCCUGAGAAAACAGAGCAUGAAAAUUUGAAACCAAAAGUGCAAUGAAGACCUCAGGAAGUUGGCGAUUCCAGG
rnacentral:lncRNA from 1 species